UUGGUGAUGGUGUGUGCUGUUAACAAGAAGCCUCUGGGGAAUACAGAAUCAGCACCAUGGAAAAUAAGAAGAGAGGAAACUUCUAAGCCUUUAGGAACCCAGCAUACUCUUGGCCUCUGUGCAGGGCAACUCAGCAACCUCAGCUUGGUGUGAAAGCUGGAUCCACCCCGAGACAACCUGGGCUGCACGUCUGAAGACAUGUACAGACUUAUAAAGAGAAGAGGUGCUGGGCCAAACUCCACAGUGAUUUCACCUCUGGUCCAGCACCCUUUGAGUUAAAUAGAGAGGCAUUUUUAUCCAGCUGUAACUGUACCUGUUAUCCUCCUCCAGUAUGAAAAUAAGACCUGGAUUUUGCCUUCCAGUAUUAUUUUCACACAUUGGAGCUUGUAGGUGAUCCUGCCAGUGAACUUGGCACAAGCUGUGCCCAAGUUAAAAACAAAAAGCCAACUCCCAUUAUUAUUUCUUUUAUGUAUGUCACUGAGAGAGCUGAUCUUGAAGCUGUUUUGUAGUUGCUCCUGAUCGAACUCACUGCAGAUAAGAUCUCGGCAUGUGCUGGGCUCAGAAGCAGAAGCGUGUGUCAUCCUUCUCUUCCAUGUGUGCAUGGGUCUGUCCCACCACAGGGGGAGAAAAUGGAGAGUAUAAAACCUCCCAAACCCCAGCCUCUAGCACUUCCUUGGGCAGAAUGUUUUACCAUAUUGAUUUCAUUUGCAUUAAAAAUGCUUCUCUGGAAAUGAAA